rnacentral:lncRNA from 1 species
ACGGAAAAUAGAACCUACGUUGAAAUAUUGGGGGCUGGUUUCCUCUAUACAAGAGGAGUCAUGAAUAUUUAUGAAAGGAGAAAUCGCACAUGCACAGCAAGGCAAUUUACUUCUAUAGAAGGGUGCGCCCUCACAGAUGGAGCAAUGGUGAGUGCACACCUGGACAAGGGAGGGGAAGGAGUUCUUAUUCUUGACACCCGUGGCCCCUGCUGCUGUGUCGUUUCCCUAUUGGCUAGGGUUAGACUGCACAGGCUAAACUAAUUCUGAUUGGCUAAUUUAAAGAGAGUGAUGGGGUGAGUGGUUUGGCAGGAAAAAUGGUUAUAGCAGAGCACGAAAUUGGAAUGAGUCAGGGUGGAGCAGGUAAUCGGAAUGACUCGGGGUGGAGCAGAUGAUUGAAAAAGGUUGCUUUAUGAGGAAGUUAAGUUUAAAAGUAGAGGGCAAAGAAUUGAGCACACUGACAUAUUGAUUCUUUGAAGAGAAAUUUAGAAUUCAUAUCUAACAGGACCAAACACCUACUGAAUUCUCAACAAAAUAGAAAAUAGAAGACCUUCACCAAGACACGUUAUCAUAAUACUUCCCAUUUUUGGAGCAAAUAAAAUAAAAAUUUAAACACAGUUCAGAGAGAAAAGAAUCAAGAAUGAAAAUGGCACCGGAGUUUGUCAACCCAAGUCUGAGAAGUAGGUGGUGCCAGAGAAAUGCUUUCUAGAUCCUGAGGGCAGAUAUUUUCAAUCUGGUAUUCCAUACCCAGGAAAACUAAUAUUUGACUUGAAUGUACCUCAGAAUUUGUAGACUUGCAAGGUCUAAGACAUUUAUAUCACAUGAUUCUAUUCUUUGGAGGUGACUGGAACAAACU